CCUACGGGAGGCAGCAGUAGAGAAUCAUUCACAAUGGGGGAAACCCUGAUGGAGCGACGCCGCGUGGGGGAAUGAAGGUCUGCGGAUUGUAAACCCCUGUCAUGUGGGAGCAAAUUAAAAAGAUAGUACCACAAGAGGAAGAGACGGCUAACUCUGUGCCAGCAGCCGCGGUAAUACAGAGGUCUCAAGCGUUGUUCGGAAUCACUGGGCGUAAAGCGUGCGUAGGCGGUUUGGUAAGUCGUGUGUGAAAGGCGCGGGCUCAACCCUCGGACGGCACAUGAUACUGCGAGACUAGAGUAAAGUAGAGGUAACCGGAAUUCUCGGUGUAGCAGUGAAAUGCGUAGAUAUCGAGAGGAACCCUCGUUGCGAAGGCGGGUUCCUGGACAUUAACUGACACUGAGGCACGAAGGCCAGGGGAGCGAAAGGGAUUAGAUACCCCUGUAGUC
rnacentral:rRNA from 1 species